ACCUACUGCUAGGUUUGCCCUUAAACUAUGGUGCUCUCUUAAUGGCUGUUCUAGCAGUAGAUC
ensembl:miRNA gga-mir-12264 gga-mir-12264